rfam:Anoxybacillus amylolyticus strain DSM 15939, complete genome.
AAACGAAUAUCAUUUGUACCGUAGACAGUAGGUGCUCCAAUAGAGCUUAAUUUCCUACCGAGGUGUUCCUGACAUAGAAAAAGUGCUGUAUUAAGCACUUUUAAGGCACCUCCAUGUCUACGUAGACAUGGAGGUUUUUGCGGUAUAAG